rnacentral:rRNA from 1 species
UACGUAGGGCGCAAGCGUUGUCCGGAAUUAUUGGGCGUAAAGCGCACGUAGGCGGUUUGUUAAGUCGGAUGUGAAAUCCCUCGGCUCAACUGAGGAAGUGCAUCCGAAACUGGCAGGCUUGAGUACUAAAGAGGGUCGCGGAAUUCCCGGUGUAGAGGUGAAAUUCGUAGAUAUCGGGAGGAACACCGGUGGCGAAGGCGGCGACCUGGGUAGAUACUGACGCUGAGGUGCGAAAGCGUGGGGAGCAAACAGG